rnacentral:lncRNA from 1 species
CAAACCAUCUGGACGUGCAGAGGCAGGCUAAUCUAUGACAUUCUGCCAUUUUAUACAAUCAUGUUUGCUUCAUGCAUGAUCAAUCUACAUCAUUUCUCCCAUAUGAAGUCCCUUUGAAUCAAAGAGGCUCUAUAAAUCUGUGUUUUCUCAAACUUAACUACUACUUAACUUGUAAUCUGAAAUUAGAGAUUGUGGCACACGAUGCUGAAGUUUGACCUUGGCCAUCGGGAAGAAGUUGUGCGGUGUGACAUUAUGAGAAUUGGCAAGCAGACUCCUCUCCAGCUGGUACGUUCCCUGUGACAUUAUGAGAAUGAUACUAUAGUAUCUUCGGCUUUAUAAUUUGACUCAUGUUGAGUUUUCAAAUGGGUGUCUUCUUGUUUGCGCAGAGCUUGUCACGAGAUUGUGCUUGCUGGCAUCAAGCUAUGGACUUGCUAGAAAAAGAUAUAAUGGUGUGUUUGGUGCUUAUACGAGGCCCCAGAAGAUGAUUAUAUGUACUACUUUAUUUUAUUCUUUGUGUUUUUCUGUAUAUUGCCAAACAGAUUUAGAGCAUAGCCA